GCGAUAGCCUCCUCCGCCGCCGUCGACGACCGCGUCCUACGCUCCUACCGCCGGUCAUCAACGUCGGCAACCCGUCCACGUGUGCGCUCGUCGUCAUCGAUACCGGCAGCGUCCUCCCCUCACCCAUCGCCGCCGAUUGGAUCCGCGGCGCCAGCCGCCGCCGCCGAACCGGCGAUUUGAUCCGCGGCACACGUCGCCGCCGCCCGUCUGGCCUGGCCAACGCGCUCGUCGUCAUCGACACCGGCAGCAUCCUCCCCUCACCCGUCGCCGCCGAUUGGAUCCGCGGCACCAGCCGCCGCCGCCGAACCGUCGAUUUGAUCCGCGGCAGCCGUCGUCACCGCCCGACUGGCCUGGUCGCUCCCCUUGCCCGUCGCAGCCGAUUCGAUCCUUCCUCACCCCUCGUCACCCGAGCUGCCGCUUUCGUCCCCGCAGCCGCAGGCAGGAAGUGCCUCUACUUCCUCUUCCAAUUCCAGCAUGGCAGCGUCAAGCUCGCAAGGUUCCAGGAUAAGUGCAGGCAGCCGCGGUAUCCGUGGGCUUCUGAGGUCGCGACCACCGGUGACCUACAGAGAAGGCCCUCUUGCUUACGAGCCCACCGUGGUGUGCGUGUGCAACAGAAAGGCACCACGGUGGAUUUCGUGGAGUGAUGAUAAUCCAGGUCGGAGGUACUAUAGAUGCAGCCGAGCAAGGACUUAUGGGGACUGUGGCUUCUAUGUGUGGUAUGAUCCUGAGCACACAACAUUUAUGAAGAACUUACUUUUGGAUCUUCGUAAUGCUGUUUGGGAAUUGAGGAGCAAAGCGGAGGAGAUGGCUGAGCUGAAGCAAAUCAAUGACUUGCUGUCCAGUGAGAAUAAAGAGAAGGUUUCAGUCGUAAAGGCACAGGAGAAGGAAUUGGAAGAGAAGAGUCAGCCAUUAGUACUCCUGGCUAACAAGAUCAGUUCAGGGAGUAGCUGUAGUUUAGUCUGUUGUGGCUUUGUAAUAUUACUAGUUGGCUUGUUCUUUGGCCUGAUGUUAGGUGCCAUGUGACAUAUGCCUACUUCUGCAUUCUGUGAGGUAACUGAUGACUGUUUGAGCAUCGCCAGCAGCAACUGUGUCCACCUUAUUGCGAUGACAGAAAUUAUACAGGUCCCUUCUUGUAAAUCCAACCUUAUCAUACCCACCAUAAAACAUUUCCAUGAUAUCCAUUAUCUGGUGUUUGCGGAUCCCAGAAAUCUGCAUCGCCAUAAUAUUAGUUUUCUGCUCA